rnacentral:rRNA from 1 species
CCUACGGGCGGCAGCAGUGAGGAAUAUUGGUCAAUGGACGCAAGUCUGAACCAGCCAUGCCGCGUGCAGGAAGACGGCUCUAUGAGUUGUAAACUGCUUUUGUACGAGGGUAAAUCCCGAUACGUGUAUCGGGUUGAAAGUAUCGUACGAAUAAGGAUCGGCUAACUCCGUGCCAGCAGCCGCGGUAAUACGGAGGAUUCAAGCGUUAUCCGGAUUUAUUGGGUUUAAGGGGUGCGCAGGCGGUCUGUUACGUCAGCGGUCAAAGCCCGGGGCUCAACCCCGGCCCGCCGUUGAAACUGGCAGUCUUGAGUGGGAGAGAAGGAUGCGGAAGGCGCGGUGUAGCGGUGAAAUGCAUAGAUAUCGCGCAGAACUCCGAUUGCGAAGGCAGCAUGCCGGCUCCACACUGACGCUGAGGCACGAAAGCGUGGGUAUCGAACAGGAUUAGAUACCCCGGUAGUC